GAUGAACGCUGGCGGCGUGCUUAACACAUGCAAGUCGAACGGAAAGGCCCUGCUCUUGUGGGGUGCUCGAGUGGCGAACGGGUGAGUAACACGUGAGUAACCUGCCCUUGACUUUGGGAUAACGUUAGGAAACUGGGGCUAAUACCGGAUAGGAGCUCCUGCUGCAUGGUGGGGGCUGGAAAGUUUCGGCGGUUGGGGAUGGACUCGCGGCUUAUAAGCUUGUUGGUGGGGUAGUGGCUUACCAAGGCUUUGACGGGUAGCCGGCCUGAGAGGGGGACCGGCCACCUUGGUGCUGCGGUACGGCCCAGCCUCCUACGGGAGGCAGCAGUGGGGAAUAUUUCACAAUGGGCGGAAGCCUGAUGCAGCAGCGCCGCGUGCGGGAUGACGGCCUUCGGGUUGUAAACCGCUUUCUCCUGUGACGAAGCGUGAGUGACGGUAAUGGGUAAAGAAGCACCGGCUAACUACGUG
rnacentral:rRNA from 1 species